rnacentral:rRNA from 1 species
UACGGAGGGUGCAAGCGUUAUCCGGAUUCACUGGGUUUAAAGGGCGCGUAGGUGGGUUGGUAAGUCAGUGGUGAAAUCUCCGAGCUUAACUUGGAAACUGCCAUUGAUACUAUCAGUCUUGAAUAUUGUGGAGGUCAGCGGAAUAUGUCAUGUAGCGGUGAAAUGCUUAGAUAUGACAUAGAACACCAAUUGCGAAGGCAGCUGGCUACACAUAUAUUGACACUGAGGCACGAAAGCGUGGGGAUCAAACAGG